CCUACGGGCGGCAGCAGUGGGGAAUAUUGGACAAUGGGCGAAAGCCUGAUCCAGCCAUGCCGCGUGUGUGAAGAAGGCCUUCGGGUUGUAAAGCACUUUCAGUGGGGAAGAAAGCCUUGGGGCUAAUACCCUCGAGGAAGGACAUCACCCACAGAAGAAGCACCGGCUAACUCCGUGCCAGCAGCCGCGGUAAUACGGAGGGUGCGAGCGUUAAUCGGAAUUACUGGGCGUAAAGCGCGCGUAGGCGGUCUGAUAAGCCGGUUGUGAAAGCCCCGGGCUCAACCUGGGAACGGCAUCCGGAACUGUUAGGCUAGAGUGCAGGAGAGGAAGGUAGAAUUCCCGGUGUAGCGGUGAAAUGCGUAGAGAUCGGGAGGAAUACCAGUGGCGAAGGCGGCCUUCUGGACUGACACUGACGCUGAGGUGCGAAAGCGUGGGUAGCAAACAGGAUUAGAUACCCGAGUAGUC
rnacentral:rRNA from 1 species